UACGUAGGGUGCAAGCGUUGUCCGGAAUUAUUGGGCGUAAAGAGCUCGUAGGCGGUCUGUCGCGUCUGCUGUGAAAACCUGGGGCUUAACCCCGGGCCUGCAGUGGGUACGGGCAGACUAGAGUGCGGUAGGGGAGACUGGAAUUCCUGGUGUAGCGGUGAAAUGCGCAGAUAUCAGGAGGAACACCAGUGGCGAAGGCGGCUCACUGGCCCGAUACUGACGCUGAGGCACGAAAGCGUGGGGAGCAAACAGG
rnacentral:rRNA from 1 species